rnacentral:rRNA from 1 species
UACGUAGGGGGCAAGCGUUAUCCGGAAUUACUGGGUGUAAAGGGAGCGUAGACGGUAAUGUAAGUCUGGAGUGAAAGGCGGGGGCCCAACCCCCGGACUGCUCUGGAAACUAUGUUACUAGAGUGCAGGAGAGGCAAGCGGAAUUCCUAGUGUAGCGGUGAAAUGCGUAGAUAUUAGGAGGAACACCAGUGGCGAAGGCGGCUUACUGGACUGUAACUGACGUUGAGGCUCGAAAGCGUGGGGAGCAAACAGG